rnacentral:rRNA from 1 species
CAUGCAGUCGGACGGUAGCACAGAGGAGCUUGCUCCUCGGGUGACGAGUGGCGGACGGGUGAGUAAUGUCUGGGGAUCUGCCCGAUAGAGGGGGAUAACCACUGGAAACGGUGGCUAAUACCGCAUAACGUCGCAAGACCAAAGAGGGGGACCUUCGGGCCUCUCACUAUCGGAUGAACCCAGAUGGGAUUAGCUAGUAGGCGGGGUAACGGCCCACCUAGGCGACGAUCCCUAGCUGGUCUGAGAGGAUGACCAGCCACACUGGAACUGAGACACGGUCCAGACUCCUACGGGAGGCAGCAGUGGGGAAUAUUGCACAAUGGGCGCAAGCCUGAUGCAGCCAUGCCGCGUGUAUGAAGAAGGCCUUCGGGUUGUAAAGUACUUUCAGCGGGGAGGAAGGCGAUGUGGUUAAUAACCGUGUUGAUUGACGUUACCCGCAGAAGAAGCACCGGCUAACUCCGUGCCAGCAGCCGCGGUAAUACGGGAGGGUGCAAGCGUUAAUCGGAAUUACUGGGGCGUAAAGCGCACGC